UUCAUUAUGUUCCUUGGUACUCCACAUAUGGUCAAACCUCCUCCUGCUGGGUUUAAGCAAUUCUCCGCCUCACCCUUCUGAGUAGCUGCGAUUAGAGGAACCCGCCAUCACGCCCGGCAGCUGUUGACUGCAUUCACUCAUGAGACUCAGGACCUCAACAGUGGUCUUUGUCCAUGUGUUAUAGUGACAAUAGUAACUGCUGUCUGGGAUUGCAUACAAGAAUAAAAAUCUCAUCUUUGUGCUGGACCACAUUAUAUUUCACAAUCUUACCUGUGGGAAAGGCUGAGAAAUGAGAAAUGAGAGUAACAUCACCUGAAUUCUUCACCUGGAAUAUGUCUCAAUCUCCCCAAUGGGCAAGGCCCAGGCUGGAGAAUCAGAUCACUUGCAUGCAGGGCCGAGUGACAUAUUACAUUUUCUCUAGGCACAGUCCAGGCAGGAGAGUGACAACAUUUGAGUGCUGGGCUCAGAGAUAUGCCACAAUCCCUUUUUUAGGCACGUCUCCUGCAACAGACAAGAGGCACAUUAUGUAGAAAAUUGGUUCAGGGGUUUGUCACAAUGUCCCCUUUGGGUGGUGCACAGGCAAGUGAGGAGAGUCGAAUCACCCAGAUAAUGGAACUAGCAAUAUGUCACAAUGUCCCCUGAUGGAAGGGCAAAGACAAGAAAGUCACAUAAGCUAGGUGAGAAAACUGACAUAUGUCACAAUGCAUGCUAUGAGUAGGGAUCAUGGAAAAGAGGAGAGUCACAUAACCUAGGGGCUAUACCCAGGUAUAUGUAACAAUCAUUCCAGUGGGCAGGGCCUAUGCAUAAGGGGAGAGUCACAUCACAUAAAUGCUGGGCCUAGCGAUAUGUCACAAUCCCCACUGUGUACAGGUCCCAGAAUAAAGUAAAGAGUCAUAUCAUCUACAUGUUGGGACCAAAGAUAUGUAUCAAUGACACCUGUGGGCAGGGACCAGGCAGAAGAGCCACAGCACCUGUGUGCUGGACCCUGUGAUAAGUUACUAUUUAUCUGUUGGCAUGGCUCCAUCAGAAGAGGCAAAUCCAACCACCUGGGUGCUGGACCCAGUGAUAUGUCACAAUGUGUUCCAUAGGUAAAGCCCAGGUAACAGAGGAGACUCACAUCAAAUAGUUGAUGGGCACAGAGAUAUUUCACAAUGCUCCCUGUGAACAGGGUGCAGGCAGGAGACUCACAUCACCUUUGUCCUGGGCCACUAUCUUUUGUGUGAGCAGAACAUAGGAAAAAGAGAACCGCUGGCUGGGCACGGUGGCUCACACCUGUAAUUGCAGCACUUUGGGAGGCUGAGGAGGGUGGAUUGCCUGAGAUCAUGAGUUCAAGAUCAGCCUGACCAACAAGGUGAAGCCCCGUCUCUACUAAAAAUACAAAAUAUAUCAAGUGUGGUGGCAGGCACCUGUAGUCCCAGCCCCUCAGGAGGCUGAGGCAGAAGAAUUACUUGAACCCAGGAGCAGAGAUUGCAGUGAGCCAAGAUUGUGCCACUGCACUCCAGCCUGGGUGAUGGAGUGAGACUCAAUCUCAGAAAAAAAAAAAAA
rnacentral:lncRNA from 1 species